rnacentral:rRNA from 1 species
CCAUACGACCGUACCGCAAACCGACACUGGUGCGCGAGAUGAGUAUUCUAAGGCGCUUGAGAGAACUCAGGAGAAGGAACUCGGCAAAUUGACACCGUAACUUCGGAAGAAGGUGUGCCCUAUUAGUGUGUAGUGAACAACGAAGCAUGAAUGGGUUGCAAAAAAUCGGUGGCUGCGACUGUUUAUUAAAAACACAGCACUCUGCAAACACGAAAGUGGACGUAUAGGGUGUGACGCCUGCCCGGUGCUGGAAGAUUAAAUGGUGGGGUGCAAGCUCUUGAUUGAAGUCCCAGUAAACGGCGGCCGUAACAAUAACGGUCCUAAGGUAGCGAAAUUCCUUGUCGGGUAAGUUCCGACCUGCACGAAUGGCGUAACGAUGGCCACACUGUCUCCUCCUGAGACUCAGCGAAGUUGAAAUGUUUGUGAUGAUGCAAUCUCCCCGCGGAAAGACGGAAAGACCCCAUGAACCUUUACUGUAGCUUUGUAUUGGACUUUGAACAGAUCUGUGUAGGAUAGGUGGGAGGCUUUGAAGCAGGGUCGCUAGAUCUUGUGGAGCCAACGUUGAAAUACCACCCUGGUGUGUUUGAGGUUCUAACCUAGGUCCAUUAUCUGGAUCGGGGACAGUGCAUGGUAGGCAGUUUGACUGGGGCGGUCUCCUCCCAAAGCGUAACGGAGGAGUUCGAAGGUACGCUAGUUACGGUCGGACAUCGUGACGAUAGUGCAAUGGCAUAAGCGUGCUUAACUGCGAGACUGACAAGUCGAGCAGAUGCGAAAGCAGGACAUAGUGAUCCGGUGGUUCUGUAUGGAAGGGCCAUCGCUCAACGGAUAAAAGGUACUCUGGGGAUAACAGGCUGAUACCGCCCAAGAGUUCAUAUCGACGGCGGUGUUUGGCACCUCGAUGUCGGCUCAUCUCAUCCUGGGGCUGUAGCCGGUCCCAAGGGUAUGGCUGUUCGCCAUUUAAAGAGGUACGUGAGCUGGGUUUAAAACGUCGUGAGACAGUUUGGUCCCUAUCUUCCGUGGGCGCUGCAGAUUUGAGGAAGCCUGCUCCUAGUACGAGAGGACCGGAGUGGACACACCUCUGGUGUAUCGGUUGUCACGCCAGUGGCAUUGCCGAGUAGCUAAGUGUGGAAGAGAUAACCGCUGAAAGCAUCUAAGCGGGAAACUCGUUUCAAGAUGAGAUCUGCCGGGGCCUUGAGCCCCCUAAAGAGUCGUUCAAGACCAGGACGUUGAUAGGUCAGGUGUGGAAGCGA